rnacentral:lncRNA from 1 species
CGACAACGACAGUCAUCAUAGAGUAGUUCAACUUGCUGGUUCAGCAGGUCAGGGGCAUCAUUGAAGUGGUGCAGGCCAUGCAGCAGCAGCAGCAGCCGCAGGCAUCUGUGCGGCUGGAAAGAGCAUCGUCGAAGUUCCAAAAACCGACGAUCGGGUGGCCCACUUGGGCCAGUCACCCUAUAUCCCCCAGAAAGAGGAAGCAGAGGGUGGAGAGCCCUCUGUCUGAUCAUGAUUCCACCCC